GGAAAAAAAAAGAAGCGCGCUAACAUCAAGCAAUGUCUUCGUAAGGUUGCAGAUGGACAUUUCACAGUGGUUGUGAAGGUGUUGGGAUCAUCUGGAGUAGCCCCCUAUAAUGGUUGGGUAAUAUGCACCCGUACAGGUCACCUCCCUCUGUGCCAACCAUCAUGUAUUCUAAUGUUCCUCUUGUGUUCGAAGUUGAUACCAUUUUAAAGUGCAUUAAAUCGUUCCCUAAAGGGACAUUGUGUGCUAGAUAUGGGUUGAGGGCCCAACACUUAUUAGAUGCACCGUGCGGAGAAGGUUUGGCUGUGGCAAGAUAUCUUGUAGGUGCUACACUCUAGUGGUUAACUUAUGGCUAGGCAAAAUAUGUCCAAUGAGUUUGAGUUUGUAGCCUCCACACCUUUGACACCAUUAUUAAAACCUAAUGGUGGGAUACGACCUAUUGCAUUAGCACUAUUUGGAGGCUAUGAAAUGAGUCGGCAAAGAUGUGGCUAAAUACCUCAACGAAUUUCAGUUUGGGGUCAGGAUAUCAGGUGGCGCAGAGUGUAAGAUUCCGAAUUUUUAUCCAAGAUAUUUCUUAAAAUUUACUUAGUUAGAAAAUGUGCGACUAUUUUUUUUCGUAAACUUUCACAUUUUGUUGUCUAUUUGAAUGAGUGUCUUAUUUAAUUUUUCAACGGUGAAUUUAAAUAAAAAGGUUGAAUGAUUUUUCGUGAGAAUUUUUGUAAAUCUUAUUUGAAUCUUUUGCUAUGUCUAGUUUCCGGGAUGAAACUAUAUUUUUGAUGGGUAGAAUGCAAGACCCGACAAGCAGCCCCUAGCACCUCCUUAAUUGAUUCAUAUUUCUCUCGUCUUUCUUGUGAUCUAUCUUUAUGUGGGUUUGAGUUGACU
rnacentral:lncRNA from 1 species